rnacentral:ncRNA from 1 species
GUAAAUGGAAUUAAAUUUGAUUCUGGUUUAUAUUGGGAUAGUUUUUAGAUGAUUAAAUAUGUAAGUUUUUGCGUGUAUAGGGAUUUAUUUAAAUAAUAUUUCUUAAUUUUAUGAUGGUAAGUAUUCGCAGUUUUUAAUAUUAUAUAGAUUUAAUAAUUUAAGAUAUAGUUAAUUUAUAUUAUGACUAGCAAAAAUUGUGCCAGCAGCUGCGGUUACACAAUUAGUCAAAAUUAUCUUUAUUAGGAUAUUAUUUAAUUAUUUAUGUGAAUGACUAUAAUAUUAUAUAUUUUUAAGUGAAAUUUAAUUUUUAAUUUAUUAGUUUGGUUUAAUUUUUGAUUUAUUAUAAGAAAUUCUGUUAUUAAACUAGGAUUAGAUACCCUAUUAUUUGGAAUGUAAAUUUUUUUCUUAUUACUAUAAGUUAUGAUCUUUAAAUUGAAAGAAUUUGACGGUAAUUUUAAUCAUUUUAGAGGAACCUGUUCUGUAAUUGAUAAUCCACGAUAAAUUUUACCUUAAUUUGUUGUUUGUAUAUCUCUGUCUGAUUGAAUGUUUUAUUAGGAUAUUUUCUUAAACUUUUAUGGAAAUUUAUGUCAGGUCAAGGUGCAGCUAUAUUAAGGUUUGAAAUGGGUUACAUUUAAUUUAUAAUUAUUGAAUUAAAUUAUUUAUUUAAUUUAUGAAAUUGGAUUUAAUUGUAAUGUUUAAUAUAUAUUAUUCGUGAUAUAUGUUUUUGAUUAAGUACAUAUCGCCCGUCACUCUCAUUAAUAAGAUGAGAUAAGUCGUAACAAAGUAGUCCUAGCGGAAGCUGGGGCUGGAAUUAUA